UACCAGCUCUCCGAGUGGUGUGGACGUUUAUUGGGCCUAAAGCAUCCGUAGCUGGCCGAACAAGUCCCCUGUCAAACCCACCGAUCCAAUCGAUGGCCAGCGGGGGAAACUGCUCAGCUAGGGGACGAGAGAGGCAGACGGUAUUCCCGGGGUAGGGGUGAAAUCCUAUAAUCCCGAGAAGACCACCAGUGGCGAAGGCUGUCUGCUAGAACGCGCCCGACGGUGAGGGAUGAAAGCUGGGGGAG
rnacentral:rRNA from 1 species